rnacentral:lncRNA from 1 species
AUGCAGGCACAACUUCUCCCGUGUCAGGUUUGUGAUGAAAGAUAUUCUCCUCUGCCACCUCCUUCUCCUCCUCCCCAGGACUGACUCUUUGAAAACUGUGGCUGCCUUUCAAAAGCUGGCUGUUAAAACGCUGGCUGCUAAAAGAGAUAACAGCGUGCCUGUCCAUGAAAGCCAACCAUCCUGGGUGAGCUCAUGGGAAAAUCUGAUCUAACCUGCCUGUCUGAGCAGUAUUUAUAAGCACUGCUACCCAAGGAUUAGGCAGCCCAGCUGCACUGAUGUAGUCAGUAAAAGCAGCUGUUUAUAUUUCAAACUUUCUGAUGCAGCAGGGUUUUAUAAAAAAGUCACAAGGCCACACUAUUUUUUAAUCCUUUUUUUUUCUUUUUUUUUUGGGCAAAGCCUCGAGAGGAACAAGCAGUACUUCAAAACACUGCUGCCUCCAUUUAUUUAAACAUUUCAGGAUCUUCCUGUCACAUCCCCACCCCCUAUCCCAAACCUCAGCAAAUAACAAGCUUUAUUUUUGACACUGAAAAGGAAGCCAGGAUGCAUUCAACAGAGCCUUGCAGGAUGCAAAUUCCCACAGUUGCACCUACGGUGGGCAUGUGGAGCUGAUUUUCACUAGCUGAUGAGCUUUAACUGCUAGUGCACUGCCGACUGUAGGAGUGGGGUUUCAGUCAGGUCUGGCCAAAACACAGCUGGUUUAUCCCUCUCCAUUUGAACAGCCGUGCCCCUGGGCUAUGGGUUUCAGCUGACUUGUUUAGACAGAGGGACUGGAGAAUGAUGAGAAGCAGCUAGGAAAUAAGAGCCCAAGAGGUGGGAUUGCUGAAGUCUUCCUGAUGCUUCCCGUGGUCCUCCUCCUAUCUCAGGCUCCUUCAGGGACAUUCAAACACGUUCAACUACAAAAGAGAAUGGAUGACAACUCUGUGAAUCCAGGUCAGCAUUUCUGCGGGGUUUACAAGACAUGCUUGGACACUGGAGUGACAGGGAGAGAAGAAAGGAGUCUGUGGUCCUGUGCUCUAUUGCCGGCAUAGGCCUUGGUGCAGUGGAUAAAUACGAGGCCUUAUUCCCUCGCCUGGCCCUGGGUCUGCUGUGGUAAGACAACACACCACAUGUACAUACCACUCUAAUGUGCGCUACUAAUACAGCUCUGAGUCUCCAGCUGAGAUUAAUGGUCCUCAAGUCACUUGAGCCGGAGAACCUGCCUUGCGCGGGGUGUCCGACAGCCCCGCGUUCCCCG